UGUCAUACCCCAAUUUUGACCUAAGAUCCCACCAACGCGGAUCACCUUACCCUAUAUAUUUUCAGAAAAAAUUCGGCAGAGAGGUAUUUUAAAAUACCUCAUUUUUAUUCUGAAUCGGGCCAUCUUCUCUUUUCAUCUUUUAAAUUCCCGUCUCUUAUUAUUUCUCUCUUAACCUUUUAAUUUUUUGUUUUAAUCUUUGUUUCUAGUUAGUCAUUUUUAUUCUUUUUUAAUCACUUUUGUUUUAGUUUUUAUUAUUGUCCAAAAAUCCAAAAAGUCAAGGAGUCCGAAAUUCUCCAGCAGGGUCCAAAAAAUAUUUUUUUCACACGCCUCAUAUUCAGGCAGAUGCACAGGGUCAAGGUGUUGUUUCCAAAUCCAGUAACACGUUUAGCUAGCUGCAAGUUAUUUCCUUAUUUUCUUCAACCCUAGUGCUAUAAAUUGAACCUGCAUUCACAACACAAAAGACAGAGAAAAAACCCUAGCCGCAAUUCACAACACAAAACACAGAAAAAUUUCACAGCCGCAAACAAAAAACCCUAGCCGAAAACGAAGAAGAAAGAAAGACAAUUUUCCACAACUAAAAUCAUCAGAAAACCCUAAGCCACAAACCUAUAGACAGAAAUCAGAAACCUACAUCAACAAUCCUCCACACAAUCCAACACGAUAAACCGUCAGCUUCAAUACGAAACCCUUAACCACCUACAACACAGAACCGGACUGAACAAAAACGUGACGAAAACGGAGCAGAAAACUCAAACGGAGCCAAGUUCGCAUCACGCGGAGGUAAAGGAGAGAGUGAAUCGGAGCUUUUUCCUCGUUUCAAAAGUUUCAUCUCCGGAUCGUAAUAGAUCCAAAGAGGUGAUAAUUUCAUUAUCCUUUUCUUUUCUCGCAUUCAAAAGCUAUGUGCAUGGUUGUAUGACUUUCGAAAAAUGUUUUGGGAAAAAGUUUUGAAUCCGAAUCUUAACGUGUAGAUCUAGAGAAUUUCACUUUGAUUUUGAAAAAAAUAGGUUCGGAUUCGUGUUUAAAAUAAAAAAGGAUAUUCGAAUAUGUAAAAAAAAUGAAAAACGGAGAAGUUUCACAUCUCCGGCGCGGUGGCGCCGCCCUGUUGGGCCGGCAAACCACCACGCCGGAGCGGCGAAGCUCGCCGGAGAAGAUGAAGAUCUUCUUCUGGAUUUUCGGAACUAUAAGAGAGAGAAGAGAGAGCUUUAGUGAGAAGAAGGAAGCUAGAGAGAGAAAUGAAAA
rnacentral:lncRNA from 1 species